UGAGAGCAGCGCAAGAACCACCAGCUGUCUGUCCCUCCCUCUUCCCUCUGCAGUUCCCCAUGCUGGGAGCUCUUGUGGUUCCAGGACAGCAGCUGAUGGACCCCAAGGACUGGCCGCUUUUUGGGGGAAAAUCACUGUUCUUGCCCUGUGGAAGUUCUAGAAAGAAGACAAUCUAUGCCAGCUCGGAUGAUUAAUUUUAUGUAUCAAAUUGCCUGGCCUUUGGUGUAUGGUAGUUUGGUCUAACACCAGUUUACAUGUUGCUCUGAAGAUCUUGUCCAGAUGUGAUUAACAUCUAUAAUCAGUUCACUCUAACUGAGAUGACCCUCAAGGAUGUGGGUGAGCUCCAUCCAAUCAGUGGAAGGCCUGAAGUGCAAAGAUGGAGGUUUCCCAAAGAAGAAGAAAUUCUGUCUGAAGACUGCAAUAUGGAAACUUGAGUUUCCAGCCUGCUGCUCUGUGGAAUUUGGACUCAAGAUGGCAAUAUCAACUCUUCCCUAAAUUUCCAGAUUCUGAUGCCUGCCCUAUGGAUUGCAGACUUGCCAACCUCCACAAACAUGGCAAUUAUGUUGUUGAUUACUCCACUGUGAGCUGAGCAGUGACGGAAGGUCAAGUUCCCAAAGUCAUGUUCGGAUUCAUUCCUUGGUUGUGACUGGAAGCCCAGAGUGAACUGAGGAAAGUGCGGAACUGUUUGCAGAACCCCACGUGGCUCCAGCUGCAGCCAGCCACCCUCAGUGUGUCAGACCAUGGGGUUGAAUGAAGAGAACCACAUCCAGAAUGGGACAAGCUACAGGUUCUGGAACAGAAGGG
rnacentral:lncRNA from 1 species